rnacentral:sRNA from 1 species
AGAAUGGCAGCGAACGCAGGCAGGGCUGGCAGUGCGAACUUCAGCUGGCGGCGUGCAAAUAUGCAAGGAUACAAGCGGGAACCAUGACAGGACAGCACAAUGCCGGGCAUAUUUUAGCCAAAUGGCAACGCCAUGAAUUCAAAGUCGAAAAUUUACUUCCUUGUGUCCCUUCAAGGGUGAAUAAAUAAGGAAAUUUUUACCAAGGGAAAGUGUCCAUAGUCUCCGAGAUUAUUGCAAGGAGGCGCCCUUUGCCUUUUGGCCUUUGAUCGAUGAUUGCCAAAGAUUUCAGUUGAUUACCCAGAAAACUAAGCAAGAAUCAAUUUAUCCAUGCUCACGCAAGACAAACGGAAAGUAGAGAGCCGAGAGCUGAGAAGGUUUCAACCUGCUAACCGCAAACUGGAUAGACGGGAAACUGGAGGAAAAACUAGAAGACCACAAGCGCACGCACACACACUCACAUGCAACGAUACAAAUGAGACAACACCUGUCCAGGAUGCAGGAUCCUGGGAGGCAGAGCGGCUAAGCGGCAGAGGGGCAGAAGGAUCCGAUGCGACUCAGUUGGCAAGGCUCAAGUGGAUGGAAAGAGCUUGGAAGGAACUUUUGCCUCACAUUGACGUGCCGACUGAAAGAACGAACAAACGAACGAACCGACGACUGAAUGACUGACUCACUGACUGACAUUUGAAUUACAAGCGGUGAAAGCUGAAGGGCGGGGA